AAUAUUGCACAAUGGGCGCAAGCCUGAUGCAGCCAUGCCGCGUGUGUGAAGAAGGCCUUCGGGUUGUAAAGCACUUUCAGCGGGGAGGAAGGCGGUGAGGUUAAUAACCUCAUCGAUUGACGUUACCCGCAGAAGAAGCACCGUCGAGUUCCGUGCCAGCAGCCGCGGUAAUACGGAGGGUGCAAGAGUUAAUCGGAAUUACUGGGCGUAAAGCGCACGCAGGCGGUCUGUCAAGUCGGAUGUGAAAUCCCCGGGCUCAACCUGGGAACUGCAUUCGAAACUGGCAGGCUAGAGUCUUGUAGAGGGGGGUAGAAUUCCAGGUGUAGCGGUGAAAUGCGCAGAGAUCUGGAGGAAUACCGGUGGCGAAGGCGGCCCCCUGGACAAAGACUGACGCUCAGGUGCGAAAGCGUGGGGAGCAAACAGG
rnacentral:rRNA from 1 species